AUACUUACUUAGCAGGGGAGACACCAUGAUCAUGAAUGUGGUUUUCCCAGGGUGAGGAUCAUCCAUUGCACUGCGGGUGUGCUUAUGCCUGCGAUUUCCCCAAAUGCGAGAAACUCGACUGCAUAAUUUGUGGAAAAAACUGGCUGUUUGUGGUAGAGUUUC